GAUGAACGCUGGCGGCGUGCCUAAUACAUGCAAGUCGAGCGAACAGAUGAGGAGCUUGCUCCUCUGACGUUAGCGGCGGACGGGUGAGUAACACGUGGAUAACCUACCUAUAAGACUGGGAUAACUUCGGGAAACCGGAGCUAAUACCGGAUAAUAUAUUGAACCGCAUGGUUCAAUAGUUAAAGACGGUUUUGCUGUCACUUAUAGAUGGAUCCGCGCCGCAUUAGCUAGUUGGUAAGGUAACGGCUUACCAAGGCGACGAUGCGUAGCCGACCUGAGAGGGUGAUCAGCCACACUGGAACUGAGACACGGUCCAGACUCCUACGGGAGGCAGCAGUAGGGAAUCUUCCGCAAUGGGCGAAAGCCUGACGGAGCAACGCCGCGUGAGUGAUGAAGGUCUUCGGAUCGUAAAACUCUGUUAUUAGGGAAGAACAAAUGUGUAAGUAACUAUGCACGUCUUGACGGUACCUAAUCAGAAAGCCACGGCUAACUACGUG
rnacentral:rRNA from 1 species